GUUUUCGCGGUACUUUUAAACAUGGUAGCCAUGGCUCCUGUUGGACGCCAGGUCACAAGGAAGCUGUCUGGGCAGUCUAAAAGAGGGUGUCUGCUAAGCCCCGAGGCCUGCAGGGCCCAGGCAGUGAGAACACCUUGGUCCUCGCUGAAAGAGCCUUGACAACAGAGUCGAAAACACUCCCUCCUCCAAAAGGAAUUAAGGCCUCCUUCACACCUCCUGGGGGUAAGC
rnacentral:lncRNA from 1 species